UCACAGGUUCACUAACAGGAGUGAAGAAAAAAGGAUGACCAACUCCCCUUUCCGUCCUGUGCUGCGCUGAGGUCUCAGCUUCUUCAGGGCAAUGCAGCAUCUAAAAGGGACAGGAGGGAGCCACAAAUCUCCACACACCCAUAUCUCACCCAACACCGAGUCCCGAGAGGAGUGGAUCCUUGAGCGCGAGCCUGUUCUUGGCAGGGACUGGAGGCUGAGGUCACCUUCCUGUCCACCUCCCUUUCCCAGACUCGGAUCAGGUGUCUCUUGGAUGCCCUGCUAUCUUCUCAGACCUGUUUUUCCCCCUUUAUCAACUGGUGUACUGACAACAGCACCGGAUCUCUCAUCUCUGUCUGAAAUGGCUAUAGACCCGCAUACAAGUUGUUUCAUGGU